UGUUGCAAAACUACAACUCCCAGCAUGCCCGGACAGCCAAAGGCUGAAUAAAGACCUUUUUGGGGGAUUUUUAUCUCCCUGCAUCACGUAGACAAAUCUGCCCGAAAAUUUCCAACAAAAGCGCCACAUUAGUAAACAGCUAACACACACAUAAAAGAAAGUCCACAAAUGAAAACCUGACCCUCUUACUAAAUGAGGGCCAUUAUGACCAAGAACUUCAUUUUUGUGUACCAAAUUGUAUUUUUCAAUGGUUCCCGUACCCACCUUUAAGAAUAUUUUAUUGUUUAUUUUUCCAAUGUAUCUGAAGGGAAAAAUGAAUCAGCUUUUGCACAGGUCUUGAUUAAGAAUUUCCUAUCACUUUGCUUCUAAAGCUCCUAUGCUGACUGAUGUGUCUCCAUGGAAACAGAAUACAAACACUCCCUGUGUACAAUCGGAGGGAGGAGGUCCGCUCUCUUGAGCCCCAGCGUGACUCCAAAUAAGUAUGAACAAAAUGCAGAUAUGGCAGUGGUAAAGAUAAAUUCUUUAUUCGGAUCCCAAUAAAAACCGCAAGGAAUGCGGAACAGACAUUAAAACAGCAACAGAGAGACAGUGUGGACGCGUUUCGGGUUUAACCCUUCAUCUAUGCACAAAAAGUCUCAGAGGAUCAGAAUCCGCUGACAUAGUGAGGAGACGUGUGGGCAUCAAGUUCUGCAGAGAGAGCAUUUAGCUGGAACAAUUCCCGGCGAAAUCGUGGCUUAUACAAAAAGACCACUAGGGGUCCCCAUACCCCCCAUACCAUCCAGAACAUAAUCCUGCCCGGCAGCAGCAGCAUCUUUGUCCCAGCUGAAGCACAGGAUGGGACAAAGUCCAAGAAGUGAGGAUGCAGGACUGGCAAUCCUCUGUGCUCAGACUGCAGCAUGUAAACAAGAGAGAAGGAGGUUACAGAGCAGCCUGCAGUGAUUGGAUGAAGAGACCCGGUGCAGCACAGAAGACUCAGGGAAGAGGUUAAUGCAUUGUGAGUGAGGGCGGGCUCAGUGAUUGCCUCGGACAUGCCCCUUCCUGAGCAGUGGAUGCCAUAAUGAGUGAGCAACAGAACAGAGGGAUCUGUGAGCCAAAUACAGACGCUAGACACAUGAAAAGACAUGUAAAGCAUCUGCAUGACCUAGAAAAUUCGGUCCAGCUGUCCUGAGGAUUUUUCUUCCUAGAAAACCUAAUUGCAUCAUUGGACAAAACAAAGUAAAACCUCAAAAGAAAAGCGUUGCUGUGAGAAUUUAUUGGAAAUCUUCUGGACUUCAUUUUCGCUCUUUUUAUGUAGUUUAAUAAAAAGUGAAUUAAUUAAAUGCAGGAUGGGAAUAAUCUGCCACAACCAGUGCGAAGGGAUUGUGUUACAUUACAUUACAGCAGACUGGCCCGUCAAGACAUGGAUUACCUGUGGUUAUACAGUACAUAGGGAUCUGAGGAAAGGGAUCAGAGCAACGCUUAUCCAACCACCUAGGAAAGCUGAGUACCUUGGUCAGGAACCAAAGCGAAAAAGGCAGUCCCGAUUAUUAAAACAGGAUUGCUUGAUUUAUUGGAAUUUGGAUUGACAAUGCGUUUCAAACACACAAACGUAUGAACACUCAAUUGAGCUAAACAUUCAUGUGUAAGGGAUGGAUAAAAGAAAUAUAGUUGUCAACCACAAAAUUGUUUGCC